rnacentral:rRNA from 1 species
UACGUAGGAGGCAAGCGUUGUCCGGAAUUACUGGGUGUAAAGCGCACGCAGGCGGGGGGGCGCGUGGGGUGUGAAAUCUGGCCGCUUAACGGCCAGGCGCCAUCCCAUACGGCACGCCUGGAGCCUUGCAGAGGUCGGUGGAAUUGCCGGUGUAGUGGUGAAAUGCGUAGAGAUCGGCAGGAACACCCAGGGGGAAACCAGCCGACUGUGCAAGUGCUGACGCUGAGGUGCGAGAGCGUGGGGAGCGAACCGG